GGAGAGAUGGCCGAGUAGGUCGAAGGCGCUCGCCUGCUAAGCGAGUAUACGCCCUCUAAAGGCGUAUCGAGGGUUCGAAUCCCUCUCUCUCCGCCA
rnacentral:tRNA from 2 species